ensembl:lncRNA
UUUUUUUACCUUGUUACAACUCUUAACAUAUAGAUGUGUUUUACAGUAAGUUUCUAUCCAGGUGACGUACCUCAAAAACAAUUGUAUAUCCAUUUAUGUAAUACCGGAGAUCCACAAACAAGUGUGGUGUGUUCCUGUAUCUAUCCUCUCAAAGGUACACCUGUAUUUUACAAGUCAAUUCUCUAUUUUAUAUUAAAAUAUGUAUCAAUACAACUCUUACCAAACAUUAACUUCUUUAAUAAUUUCCUACCAAGAAGACAUGUACCUCUGAAACCACAUUUAUUUUGGUCACUGAGCUUCCUUCUCCAGAGUACAUUCUGUGGAUUUGCCAUUUUCAAUGUUGUUAAUAUUAGCAGCUUUUGUCCUUUAACACUAUUUGUAAUAGCUCACUAUCCAUAUGAACUACUUCUCUACAAACGUGGUGUGUUCCCCUGUUUCCUCCAAAAGGUAAACCCCUCCAAAUUCAUAAUCUUGAUUUAUUUUAAAAUGACAUGCAUGGUUACAACUCUAUUACCUAAUUGACAUGAAUUAUUUUGAAUAGCUUCCAGUCCAGAUGACAUGUACCUCUAAAACCACUUUCAAUUUUGUUUACAGACCUUCUUUGUCGAGACCUUCUUUGGCCCUUAGAUUUUCCCUUUAAAAUGUUGGUCAAUUUACAGAUCUAACUCAUAUGGAUAGUAAGCUAUUAAAAAACGUAUUGUAUAGAACAGGGGAGUGUCUGCAUGUUUUAGAUUUUUCCUAUAAAUUUGUUCGCAAUUCAGACCUAAGCAACCAGGUGAGGGUAGAAACUAACCAAUUACUUACCUAAUUAAUCAAGUACAAGGUGAGAGCGAAAAAUCUGCAGACGCUCGGACCUCCGUGGAUCUAGUUUGUCACCUCUGGUAUAGAGGGAUCAAUUCUCAUAUAAUCACCGAAAAUGUAAAAGGGCAAAUCUAAAGGUCUGUGAACAAAAAGUGUUUUUAAAUGUAUAUGACAUCUCUAUAGGAAUCUUAAAAAUGAAAUGUAUAAGAUUUAACAACAAAAAUAUGUAGAAAAUUAUAGGUUUGUUUAAUAACCAUUUUGGGCUCUGCUAAAGGAAAAGUUUGAUUUUCGAUAAAAUCAUUGGGUGUACCCUGCUCUCUACCCUCAUCCAAUCAUAUAUAUUUCAGUGUCGUCUUUGUACGAUUUUUUUGGAAGAGGUAUUGAAGAUCAAACUCCGAAUAUCAAACAUGAAACAAAAUUUACCCCUGUGUUUUAUUUCUG